rnacentral:rRNA from 1 species
AUUGAACGCUGGCGGCAUGCCUUACACAUGCAAGUCGAACGGCAGCACGGGUGCUUGCACCUGUUGGCGAGUGGCGAACGGGUGAGUAAUACAUCGGAACAUGUCCUGUAGUGGGGGAUAGCCCGGCGAAAGCCGGAUUAAUACCGCAUACGAUCUACGGAUGAAAGCGGGGGACCUUCGGGCCUCGCGCUAUAGGGUUGGCCGAUGGCGGAUUAGCUAGUUGGUGGGGUAAAGGCCUACCAAGGCGACGAUCAGUAGCUGGUCUGAGAGGACGAGCAGCCACACUGGGACUGAGACACGGCCCAGACUCCUACGGGAGGCAGCAGUGGGGAAUUUUGGACAAUGGGCGAAAGCCUGAUCCAGCAAUGCCGCGUGUGUGAAGAAGGCCUUCGGGUUGUAAAGCACUUUUGUCCGGAAAGAAAUCCUUGGCCCUAAUACGGUCGGGGGAUGACGGUACCGGAAGAAUAAGCACCGGCUAACUACGUG